UACGUAGGGUGCGAGCGUUUGUCCGGAAUUAUUGGGCGUAAAGAGCUCGUAGGCGGUCUGUCGCGUCGAUCGUGAAAACUUGGGGCUUAACCCUGAGCUUGCGGUCGAUACGGGCAUGACUGGAGUUCGGCAGGGGAGACUGGAAUUCCUGGUGUAGCGGUGAAAUGCGCAGAUAUCAAGGAGGAACACCAUAUGGAAGGCAGCUCGCUUGGGACGUUACUGACGCUGAGACGCGAAAGCGUGGGGGAGCAAACAGG
rnacentral:rRNA from 1 species